GUCUCUCGCUGACGCCAGAGAUCCAGCUAUCGUCUUCACUGCUCUGUGCCGUCAGCUCCUAGAGGCCCAGCCUCUGUGGCCCUGUGACCUGCAGGUAUUAGGAGGGUCACAGCUAGGACGCCGGGACCCCCUGGAAGCCUAGAAAUGAACGGGGAAGAUAACCGAAGGGUGGUUUGAGAAACCCACCAGGCCAACUGGGAAUUAGAAUUGAUUCAAAACUCCAUUGAUCGCCUGACCUCCAUAAGCUCCUACUCUGCUGCAGUUGAGUGCUGCCACUUAAAUCCUGCAGUCCCGAGAUCCGGUUAUAACCAAUGCAUUUAGAUUUUUCAUUUCGGUGGCAACAAUCUUCAUUGUAAGUUCUGUCCUACAGAGAAGUGUGGUGAUCAAGCUCUUUGGAGAUACUGGGACUCCUCUCACAAAUGUAUGUCUCACAGUUAUGAUGAAUGGUGUAUCUCCUGGAUCUUCCUCAGUUGAGUAUGUUUUAAAGGAAAAAUACACUUUAUCAUUCAAAUCUUUCAAAGCUUUUGAAUCACUUUAUAGCAAACCAAUGAAGAUCCAGCAUUUCAUUCUUUCUUUUCUUUUUUCUUUUUUUUUUUUUUUUGAGACAGAGUUUCACUCUUGUUGCCCAGGGGCUGGAGUG
rnacentral:lncRNA from 1 species